UACGGAGGGUGCUAGCGUUGUUCGGAAUCACUGGGCGUAAAGGGCGUGUAGGCGGUCUGUUAAGUCUGAUGUGAAAUCCCCGGGCUCAACCUGGGAAUGGCGAUGGAGACUGCAAGGCUAGAAUCUGGCAGAGGGGGGUAGAAUUCCACGUGUAGCAGUGAAAUGCGUAGAUAUGUGGAGGAACACCGAUGGCGAAGGCAGCCCCCUGGGCUAAGAUUGACGCUCAUGCACGAAAGCGUGGGGAGCAAACAGG
rnacentral:rRNA from 1 species